GCCGUGUCCUGGACAUGUAACCCAAGAUGUCGCUCAAGAUGUCUUCUGUGCACACUGGUGACCGCUCUUAGCACCGUACCAGACUGUCAGAUGGCCUCUGGCGGUGCUUAUACCUGGUGCAGCCUCCAAUGUUCUUGAAUUGUGUUCUCACACGUCAUGAGAAGUUUGGGUCUGCAGCUUGUAUCCAGUUCCAGUUUUGCUAGCCAGAGCUACGAUGCAUUCUGAAGAGAAUUUUUCUCCCCUUCCCACCCCCACUCCCUCAGCAGCUCUGCUGUGUGCUUUUCUGCACCAGGCUGGCAGUCUCUGCUCACCGGUCACGUGCGUCCUCUGACGCUUUAGUUCCAACUCCUGUUACUGAUGUUGUGGAAUUGUUAUUUUCAGCCUCCUGGUUAUAAGCUUUGCAGAGGUUCCUUCCCACAUGCUUAGCUUCCUGAUUUGCUAAUGACGUCAUUUGAUGUGCCAUCUGCAUUUAAAUGGCACUUAUUAAUCUUUUCCAAAGAUGAUUUUCCUGAAGGUUUCUAACUUUGGCCUUUAAAAAUUUGCACUUUGUUGAGGUGGGUCUUAUGGAGUGCUGAUGUCAUCGCCCCUGCUGUCUCCACCCAGUUGUGGCCAAGUUUUCCUGACUCUGUCAUCUUCCAGCACCCACUCCUGACCUUGUCCCUUUCUCUUCUCAUCAGCUGGGAUGCUUCUCCUCCCAGCUGCUUCCAUGUGGACCUGUGGCUCAGGAGACCCAGAGGACAUGAGGUGCGGAAGGUCUUCCCUUCCUGCCUGGAAUAUGGUAGGACCCUGGGGGUACAGAAGCAAGCGCCUGUGACAGGGCUGGAGAGAGCACAUACCUGUUAGAUAGGGGGCCUCCAGGUCAGCACUGAAGCCCUGCCUCAAGCCUUAGAUUGUCAACUGCUGGGGUUUUGUGUGUGUGAGUGUGUGAAAGAAAUAAAUCCCUAUUUGUUC
rnacentral:lncRNA from 1 species